GGCCAGUGUGAUGUAGUGGUUUGGGUAUCAGACUACGACUCUGGAGACCAGGAUUCGAUUCCCUGCUUGGCCU